CCCUUUGGGGUGUGACUGCGUACCUUUUGUAUAAUGGGUCAGCGACUUAUAUUCUGUAGCAAGGUUAACCGAAUAGGGGAGCCGGAGGGAAACCGAGUCUUAACCGGGCGUUAAGUUGCAGGGUAUAGACCCGAAACCCGGUGAUCUAGCCAUGGGCAGGUUGAAGGUUGGGUAACACUAACUGGAGGACCGAACCGACUAAUGUUGAAAAAUUAGCGGAUGACCUGUGGCUGGGGGUGAAAGGCCAAUCAAACCGGGAGAUAGCUGGUUCUCCCCGAAAGCUAUUUAGGUAGCGCCUCGUGAAUUCAUCUCCGGGGGUAGAGCACUGUUUCGGCUAGGGGGCCAUCCCGGCUUACCAACCCGAUGCAAACUGCGAAUACCGGAGAAUGUUAUCACGGGAGACACACGGCGGGUGCUAACGUCCGUCGUGAAGAGGGAAACAACCCAGACCGCCAGCUAAGGUCCCAAAGUCAUGGUUAAGUGGGAAACGAUGUGGGAAGGCCCAGACAGCCAGGAUGUUGGCUUAGAAGCAGCCAUCAUUUAAAGAAAGCGUAAUAGCUCACUGGUCGAGUCGGCCUGCGCGGAAGAUGUAACGGGGCUAAACCAUGCACCGAAGCUGCGGCAGCGACACUCAGGUGUUGUUGGGUAGGGGAGCGUUCUGUAAGCCUGUGAAGGUGGCCUGUGAGGGUUGCUGGAGGUAUCAGAAGUGCGAAUGCUGACAUAAGUAACGAUAAAGCGGGUGAAAAGCCCGCUCGCCGGAAGACCAAGGGUUCCUGUCCAACGUUAAUCGGGGCAGGGUGAGUCGACCCCUAAGGCGAGGCCGAAAGGCGUAGUCGAUGGGAAACGGGUUAAUAUUCCCGUACUUGGUGUUACUGCGAAGGGGGGACGGAGAAGGCUAUGUUGGCCGGGCGACGGUUGUCCCGGUUUAAGCGUGUAGGUGUGUGUUCCAGGUAAAUCCGGUUCACUUUAACACUGAGGCGUGACGACGAGGCACUACGGUGCUGAAGCAACAAAUGCCCUGCUUCCAGGAAAAGCCUCUAAGCAUCAGGUAACAUCAAAUCGUACCCCAAACCGACACAGGUGGUCAGGUAGAGAAUACCAAGGCGCUUGAGAGAACUCGGGUGAAGGAACUAGGCAAAAUGGUGCCGUAACUUCGGGAGAAGGCACGCUGACAUGUAGGUGAAGUGAUUUACUCAUGGAGCUGAAGUCAGUCGAAGAUACCAGCUGGCUGCAACUGUUUAUUAAAAACACAGCACUGUGCAAACACGAAAGUGGACGUAUACGGUGUGACGCCUGCCCGGUGCCGGAAGGUUAAUUGAUGGGGUCAGCGCAAGCGAAGCUCCUGAUCGAAGCCCCGGUAAACGGCGGCCGUAACUAUAACGGUCCUAAGGUAGCGAAAUUCCUUGUCGGGUAAGUUCCGACCUGCACGAAUGGCGUAAUGAUGGCCAGGCUGUCUCCACCCGAGACUCAGUGAAAUUGAACUCGCUGUGAAGAUGCAGUGUACCCGCGGCAAGACGGAAAGACCCCGUGAACCUUUACUAUAGCUUGACACUGAACAUUGAGCCUUGAUGUGUAGGAUAGGUGGGAGGCUUUGAAGUGUGGACGCCAGUCUGCAUGGAGCCGGCCUUGAAAUACCACCCUUUAAUGUUUGAUGUUCUAACGUGGACCCGUGAUCCGGGUUGCGGACAGUGUCUGGUGGGUAGUUUGACUGGGGCGGUCUCCUCCUAAAGAGUAACGGAGGAGCACGAAGGUUGGCUAAUCCUGGUCGGACAUCAGGAGGUUAGUGCAAUGGCAUAAGCCAGCUUGACUGCGAGCGUGACGGCGCGAGCAGGUGCGAAAGCAGGUCAUAGUGAUCCGGUGGUUCUGAAUGGAAGGGCCAUCGCUCAACGGAUAAAAGGUACUCCGGGGAUAACAGGCUGAUACCGCCCAAGAGUUCAUAUCGACGGCGGUGUUUGGCACCUCGAUGUCGGCUCAUCACAUCCUGGGGCUGAAGUAGGUCCCAAGGGUAUGGCUGUUCGCCAUUUAAAGUGGUACGCGAGCUGGGUUUAGAACGUCGUGAGACAGUUCGGUCCCUAUCUGCCGUGGGCGCUGGAGAACUGAGGGGGGCUGCUCCUAGUACGAGAGGACCGGAGUGGACGCAUCACUGGUGUUCGGGUUGUCAUGCCAAUGGCACUGCCCGGUAGCUAAAUGCGGAAGAGAUAAGUGCUGAAAGCAUCUAAGCACGAAACUUGCCCCGA
rnacentral:rRNA from 1 species